rnacentral:lncRNA from 1 species
CAUUACAGAAAAUACUCAAACUAAAAUUCUUAUAAUUUAAAAGUUAAAAACAGAAGCAUGCGCGGUUGUGUGGCCACCUUCAAGUCCCUCUCAGCACUGAUCUGCCUAAUGAUUACCUGCGCGGAUAACCAAAAGGUGAGUUUACGAAAACUCAGUGUGUAAUCCCUUAAUAAACAGACAGUCAAACAUACAGUGAGCAAAUACAGUCUGGGCCUAAGCCUUUUUUAGUAACAGUGGCAAUAUCAGUUUGGGCUUUAGCCCAUCUCAAUACAGAAACAGUCAUAUGUUCGGGCCUUGGCCCUUUGUUGUAACAAUAAAUAGUUCAAUAAUAGUAAACAGUAUGCAAGUCCUACCUAUUGAGCCUCUACACUCCAUCUUCGUCCAGCCCUACACACCAUGUGGGGAUAAAAUCAACCCACCCAUCCUUACACACCAAAAAUAUAGCAAUAGUUGCAGUACUAAACAGUAUUUGUAGCAAAGCUUCCAGUAUAGUAGACUUAGAGCCAUUAGUGAUUUGCAGUAGAGCUGCCAGUACAAUACACUUCCUCCAAUCAUAUAAAAACCCACCCCCAUGCAAUGCAUCAUGCCACAUGUCAUGUAAUAUCAUAAUAUUGUACAUGUACUCAACACAGUUAUAAUAGCAUGCUAAAAUCUAAACAUAUACCACAUAGGGGCAGAAUAGUCAAUUUACCAUGUAGGGGCAUUUCAUUCAUUUUACCACAUAAGGGUAAAACAGUCAUUUUACCACAUAAGGGCAAAACAGUCAUUUUACCUCAUAAGGGCAAAACAGUCAUUUUACCUCAUAAGGGCAAAAUAGUCAUUUUACCUCAUAAGGGAAAAACAGUCAUUUCGUCAAAUUGGGGUCUACUUACUGACCCAACAAUGGGUCCACAGUCGUCUCGGGCAACUUGUGCAAUCCUAGCAGUCAAACAGUGAGAAUGGGCCCAAGGCCUAUAAUGCGGCCUAUAUAGGCCCACAUGCCCGUGUGGCCCAUUAAGCCCAAAAAUGGCCUUGGCCUUGUGGAAUACACAGCCUGGCCCAAUAUUCUCCACACGUUCGUGUGGUUUACCCACGCGGGGCCCACACGGCCCAUUUUGACCCCACAUGGCCUAACGGCUGUAAGACCCAAUUUGUGCCAGGGCUUACACCAAAACCAAAACCAAAAAAUAAAACAAAAAAAAUAAUAAACCCAAAAUCAAAGUCCAAGUACAGUCUUUAUACAAAUUAUAGUCUAAAUUAUAAUCCAUUUACCUAAAUUAAACCUAACCCAAUUAACCCAAAUAACCCAAAAUACCCCAGGCUCAAAAUCCCUAUGGAAUUUUCGGCAGAAAUCCUAGAUCAUCAGCACCGCAGCAACUUCCAGCACUGCUGCUGUCUCCGGGCUAGUCCUACACCUCAUCCCACGUGUGUCACCACCUCCAGUUGGCUCCUUCUGUACCUAUAACAAAUUAACAAACCACAAGCCACAGUAAGGAGGGCGCAACAACACAGCAAAUUUACAGCAAAUGGGCAGCGAAUGAAUAGAAAGAUCUAGGGAAUUUCUUUGAUUUUCUAUUUUUCUCUUUAUUCGGCUAUAAAUAAAGACCGAAUGUAAUUUGUAUGGGGAGGAUACAAAAUAGAAGGAAAAAGCGAUGAAAAACUAAGGUGAUUUAGAUUAUUUCUUUCUUUUUGAUUCUGCUCCUAUUUCACAAAUCUUUGUUACUGCAUAUAAAAACAAAAAUCAAAAAAGAGAAAAGGACUUACCAGAGAGUUGGCUCCUUCGAAUCCUCACUUGAUUCGUCGCAAUCGAAGUUAGGUGACGAUUUUAAGGCUGGUGAGUGAAACUCGUGGACCUCUGGUUGAAUAGGGCCUUGAUUGGCCAUUACAUAACACGAUCCAUCGAGAAGAGAAAAGGCAUUCGAAUGAGAUAUUUUGGUUCAGCCGAGUGGAAGUGUUUGUUUUUUCUUCUUUAUUUUGAUUUUGAUAAAGUGGCCAAGUGCUUGAUCUUAAGUUUGUUUUAGGUUUGAUUUUUGUGCAGAAUUCAAAACGGUGCAGUGUAAGUGGGGGAGAUCUGCGUGGGCAAACCUGAUCCAUAGGCUGGAUCCUUGCUUUGGUACUUCAAAUGGUUAAUUUGCGCGGAUGGUCCCUUGCCUUCACGCUGAAUUUUUAAUUGGUCCUUAUUCACAUUUUAGUUGUUUCAAUUUUUUUUUCCUUAGAAUUUACAUUGCAUAUUGAUAUUUG